rnacentral:rRNA from 1 species
AUUGAACGCUGGCGGCAGGCCUAACACAUGCAAGUCGAGCGGAUGAAGGGAGCUUGCUCCUGGAUUCAGCGGCGGACGGGUGAGUAAUGCCUAGGAAUCUGCCUGGUAGUGGGGGAUAACGUCCGGAAACGGGCGCUAAUACCGCAUACGUCCUGAGGGAGAAAGUGGGGGAUCUUCGGACCUCACGCUAUCAGAUGAGCCUAGGUCGGAUUAGCUAGUUGGUGGGGUAAAGGCCUACCAAGGCGACGAUCCGUAACUGGACUGAGAGGAUGAUCAGUCACACUGGAACGGAGACACGGUCCAGACUCCUACGGGAGGCAGCAGUGGGGAAUAUUGGACAAUGGGCGAAAGCCUGAUCCAGCCAUGCCGCGUGUGUGAAGAAGGUCUUCGGAUUGUAAAGCACUUUAAGUUGGGAGGAAGGGCAGUAAGUUAAUACCUUGCUGUUUUGACGUUACCAACAGAAUAAGCACCGGCUAACUUCGUG